rnacentral:rRNA from 1 species
AUUGAACGCUGGCGGAAUGCUUUACACAUGCAAGUCGAACGGCAGCACGGGUGCUUGCACCUGGUGGCGAGUGGCGAACGGGUGAGUAACAUAUCGGAACGUACCCAGUCAUGGGGGAUAACUAAGCGAAAGCUUAGCUAAUACCGCAUACGCCCUGCGGGGGAAAGCGGGGGACCGAAAGGCCUCGCGUUAUUGGAGCGGCCGAUAUCUGAUUAGCAAGUUGGUGGGGUAAAGGCCCACCAAGGCGACGAUCCGUAGCUGGUCUGAGAGGAUGAUCAGCCACACUGGAACUGAGACACGGUCCAGACUCCUACGGGAGGCAGCAGUGGGGAAUUUUGGACAAUGGGGGCAACCCUGAUCCAGCCAUUCCGCGUGAGUGAAGAAGGCCUUCGGGUUGUAAAGCUCUUUCGGCAGGGAAGAAACGCUCUGGGUUAAUAACCUGGGGUAAUGACGGUACCUGAAGAAGAAGCACCGGCUAACUACGUGCCAGCAGCCGCGGUAAAAC